rnacentral:rRNA from 1 species
GGGUUGUGAGGUUAAGCGACUAAGCGUACACGGUGGAUGCCCUGGCAGUCAGAGGCGAUGAAGGACGUGCUAAUCUGCGAAAAGCGCCGGCGAGGUGAUAUGAACCUUUGACCCGGCGAUGUCCGAAUGGGGAAACCCAGUGUGAUUCGUCACACUAUCGUUAACUGAAUACAUAGGUUAACGAGGCGAACCGGGGGAACUGAAACAUCUAAGUACCCCGAGGAAAAGAAAUCAACCGAGAUUCCCCCAGUAGCGGCGAGCGAACGGGGAGCAGCCCAGAGUCUGAAUCAGCUUGUGUGUUAGUGGAAGCGUCUGGAAAGUCGCACGGUACAGGGUGACAGUCCCGUACACGAAAAUGCACAGGUUGUGAACUCGAAGAGUAGGGCGGGACACGUGGUAUCCUGUCUGAAUAUGGGGGGACCAUCCUCCAAGGCUAAAUACUCCUGACUGACCGAUAGUGAACCAGUACCGUGAGGGAAAGGCGAAAAGAACCCCGGCGAGGGGAGUGAAAAAGAACCUGAAACCGUGUACGUACAAGCAGUGGGAGCACCUUCGUGGUGUGACUGCGUACCUUUUGUAUAAUGGGUCAGCGACUUAUAUUCUGUAGCAAGGUUAACCGUAUAGGGGAGCCGAAGGGAAACCGAGUCUUAACUGGGCGUUAAGUUGCAGGGUAUAGACCCGAAACCCGGUGAUCUAGCCAUGGGCAGGUUGAAGGUUGGGUAACACUAACUGGAGGACCGAACCGACUAAUGUUGAAAAAUUAGCGGAUGACUUGUGGCUGGGGGUGAAAGGCCAAUCAAACCGGGAGAUAGCUGGUUCUCCCCGAAAGCUAUUUAGGUAGCGCCUCGUGAACUCAUCUUCGGGGGUAGAGCACUGUUUCGGCUAGGGGGCCAUCCCGGCUUACCAACCCGAUGCAAACUACGAAUACCGAAGAAUGUUAUCACGGGAGACACACGGCGGGUGCUAACGUCCGUCGUGAAGAGGGAAACAACCCAGACCGCCAGCUAAGGUCCCAAAGUCAUGGUUAAGUGGGAAACGAUGUGGGAAGGCACAGACAGCCAGGAUGUUGGCUUAGAAGCAGCCAUCAUUUAAAGAAAGCGUAAUAGCUCACUGGUCGAGUCGGCCUGCGCGGAAGAUGUAACGGGGCUAAACCAUGCACCGAAGCUGCGGCAGCGACACUAUGUGUUGUUGGGUAGGGGAGCGUUCUGUAAGCCGUUGAAGGUGUGCUGUGAGGCAUGCUGGAGGUAUCAGAAGUGCGAAUGCUGACAUAAGUAACGAUAAAGCGGGUGAAAAGCCCGCUCGCCGGAAGACCAAGGGUUCCUGUCCAACGUUAAUCGGGGCAGGGUGAGUCGACCCCUAAGGCGAGGCCGAAAGGCGUAGUCGAUGGGAAACAGGUUAAUAUUCCUGUACUUGGUGUUACUGCGAAGGGGGGACGGAGAAGGCUAUGUUAGCCGGGCGACGGUUGUCCCGGUUUAAGCAUGUAGGCGGAGGUUCCAGGUAAAUCCGGUACCUUUUAACGCUGAGGUGUGAUGACGAGGCACUACGGUGCUGAAGUAACAAAUGCCCUGCUUCCAGGAAAAGCCUCUAAGCAUCAGGUAACAUCAAAUCGUACCCCAAACCGACACAGGUGGUCAGGUAGAGAAUACCAAGGCGCUUGAGAGAACUCGGGUGAAGGAACUAGGCAAAAUGGUGCCGUAACUUCGGGAGAAGGCACGCUGAUAUGUAGGUGAAGCCCCUGCGGGUGGAGCUGAAAUCAGUCGAAGAUACCAGCUGGCUGCAACUGUUUAUUAAAAACACAGCACUGUGCAAACACGAAAGUGGACGUAUACGGUGUGACGCCUGCCCGGUGCCGGAAGGUUAAUUGAUGGGGUUAGCGGCAACGCGAAGCUCUUGAUCGAAGCCCCGGUAAACGGCGGCCGUAACUAUAACGGUCCUAAGGUAGCGAAAUUCCUUGUCGGGUAAGUUCCGACCUGCACGAAUGGCGUAAUGAUGGCCAGGCUGUCUCCACCCGAGACUCAGUGAAAUUGAACUCGCUGUGAAGAUGCAGUGUACCCGCGGCAAGACGGAAAGACCCCGUGAACCUUUACUAUAGCUUGACACUGAACACUGGUCCUUGAUGUGUAGGAUAGGUGGGAGGCUUUGAAGCGUGGACGCCAGUCUGCGUGGAGCCGUCCUUGAAAUACCACCCUUUAAUGGCUGGUGUUCUAACGUAGACCCGUAAUCCGGGUUGCGGACAGUGUCUGGUGGGUAGUUUGACUGGGGCGGUCUCCUCCCAAAGAGUAACGGAGGAGCACGAAGGUUAGCUAAUCCUGGUCGGACAUCAGGAGGUUAGUGCAAUGGCAUAAGCUAGCUUGACUGCGAGAGUGACGGCUCGAGCAGGUGCGAAAGCAGGUCAUAGUGAUCCGGUGGUUCUGAAUGGAAGGGCCAUCGCUCAACGGAUAAAAGGUACUCCGGGGAUAACAGGCUGAUACCGCCCAAGAGUUCAUAUCGACGGCGGUGUUUGGCACCUCGAUGUCGGCUCAUCACAUCCUGGGGCUGAAGUAGGUCCCAAGGGUAUGGCUGUUCGCCAUUUAAAGUGGUACGCGAGCUGGGUUUAGAACGUCGUGAGACAGUUCGGUCCCUAUCUGCCGUGGGCGCUGGAGAAUUGAGGGGGGCUGCUCCUAGUACGAGAGGACCGGAGUGGACGCAUCACUGGUGUUCGGGUUGUCAUGCCAAUGGCACUGCCCGGUAGCUAAAUGCGGAAAAGAUAAGUGCUGAAAGCAUCUAAGCACGAAACUUGCCCCGAGAUGAGUUCUCCCUGAGACUUUAAGUCUCCUGAAGGAACGUUGAAGACGACGACGUUGAUAGGUCGGGUGUGUAAGCGCAGCGAUGCGUUGAGCUAACCGAUACUAAUGAACCGUGAGGCUUAACCUUACAACGCCGAAG